rnacentral:rRNA from 1 species
GACGAACGCUGGCGGCGUGCUUAACACAUGCAAGUCGAACGGAAAGGCCUGCUUUCCCUUGUGGAUUGCGGGUACUCGCGUGGCGAACGGGUGAGUAACACGUGAGUGAUCUGCCCCCAACUUGGGUAUAAGCCUGGGAAACUGGGUCUAAUUCCCGAUAGGACUGCAGGGUGGUGCCUGUGGUGGAAAACGAUUUUCUAGUGGUUGGGGAUGAGCUCGCGGCCUAUCAGCUUGUUGGUGGGGUAAUGGCCUACCAAGGCGGCGACGGGUAGCCGGCCUGAGAGGGUGGACGGCCACAUUGGGACUGAGAUACGGCCCAGACUCCUACGGGAGGCAGCAGUGGGGAAUAGUGCACAAUGGGCGGAAGCCUGAUGCAGCGACGCCGCGUGGGGGAUGACGGCCUUCGGGUGGUAAACUCCUUUCGACCGCGAGGAAGCCACCUGGUUGGAAGGGUGGUGACGGUAGUGGUAGAAGAAGCACCGGCUAACUACGUG